rnacentral:rRNA from 1 species
UAGGGAAUCUUCGGCAAUGGACGAAAGUCUGACCGAGCAACGCCGCGUGAGUGAAGAAGGUUUUCGGAUCGUAAAACUCUGUUGUUAGAGAAGAACAAGGACGUUAGUAACUGAACGUCCCCUGACGGUAUCUAACCAGAAAGCCACGGCUAACUACGUGCCAGCAGCCGCGGUAAUACGUAGGUGGCAAGUGUUGUCCGGAUUUAUUGGGCGUAAAGCGAGCGCAGGCGGUUUAGUAAGUCUGAUGUGAAAGCCACCGGCUCAACCGGGGAGGGUCAUUGGAAACUGGUCGACUUGAGUGCAGAAGUAGAGAGUGGAAUUCCAUGUGUAGCGGUGAAAUGCGUAGAUAAAUGGAGGAACACCAGUGGCGAAGGCGGCUCUCUAAUCUGUAAAUGACGAUGAGGCUCGAAAGCGUGGGGCGCAAACAGG